rnacentral:rRNA from 1 species
CUACGGGUUGCACCAGUGAGGAAUCUUGCGCAAUGGGGGAAACCCUGACGCAGCAACGCCGCGUGAGUGAAGGAGGCCUUCGGGUCGUAAAGCUCUGUCAAGUGGGAAGAAAAUGUUUUGUACCAAUAAUACAGAACACUGACGGUACCACUGAAGGAAGCACCGGCUAACUCCGUGCCAGCAGCCGCGGUAAUACGGAGGGUGCAAGCGUUAGUCGGAAUUACUGGGCGUAAAGGGCGCGCAGGCGGCUCUUUAAGUCAGGCGUGAAAGCCCGAGGCUAAACCUCGGAAGUGCGUUUGAAUCUGAAGGGCUUGAGUACGGGAGAGGGAAGUGGAAUUCCUGGUGUAGAGGUGAAAUUCGUAGAUAUCAGGAGGAACACCGGUGGCGAAGGCGACUUCCUGGACCGAUACUGACGCUGAGGCGCGAAAGCGUGGGGAGCAAACAGGAUUAGAUACCCUUGUAGUC